AGAGCUUUAAUUUCACAAUUAUAAUUUACCACUUCAGAAGAGAAAUAUUGGUGUCUCGAAUGAUAGCAUAAAAUAUCAGUUGCUUAGAAUAAAGACCAUAAAUGUUUGCAUUUUUAAAAAGUGUUCAGUGUUUCAUACUUAAAUUAAAAGAAAUUUCUACUACUUGCCACAAAAUAAUUCCCCACUACCAAGUUUUCUCGGUGACAUUUUUAUCUGUCAGAUAAAGUUAAGAUCAAAUCAGAAGAUGUUUCCAAAAUGCAAGAAUGCUUUAUAAAUGAUUUCAUUCAAUAAACAGGGUCUUCGUCCAUCUUCUGCUGAGCCAAAUCACAACCAGAGACAAGAGAUUAGAAGGCAUGAAGAAAAGCCUCGAUUCCAGGAGCUGCAGUUUAGAAAAAACGAAAUGAAGGACCAGGUUAAAAAAUGGUCCAAUACCAGGGCUACGAUUGUGUGUUGUUUGUUUGUUUUCUACACCCUCAGCUCCUAACAUUGUUUCCGUGUCUCUGUCUUGCUCUGUCCUAGGGUGCUGCUUCUGUUUCCCACAGGGUGCCUGGGAGAGCACUGUACACACACAAUGGGUCAAGCACUAUGCUGGGUGUUUUAGGAGCAGAAGUAGCUAUUUCAUUUGCUCAGAGAAUACAACAUAGCUAAAUUCAUAAGGCCUCUUUCCUUGGAUUGAUAAAGUAACUUUUGAUAACCUAUUUAGAAUUUUUAUUAGUUUGCCAAAUCUGGUGUAAGGAAGUACAAUAGGCUGGGUGGUUUAAAAUAACAGAAAUUUAUUGUCUAACAUUUAUUGUCUAACACCAAAGUGUUGUCAGUCCCAUGCCCCCUGUGAAGUCUAUAAGGGAAUCCUUCUUUGCUUCUUCCUAGCUUCUAGCUUGUCUGGCAAUCUUUGGCACUCCUCAGCUUACAGCAACAGAACUCUAGACUCCGCCUUUGUUGCGCGGCCUUCUCCUUAGAUCUGUGUCUAUACAUGGCUGUCUUUUUGAAAGAACACCAGCCACAUUGAACUAAGGACCAGCAUGACCUCAUUUAAACUAAUUACAUAUGCAAUGACCCUAUUUCCAAAUAGGGUCACAUUCAGAGACACUGGAAAGGAGGUAGGACUUAACACAUAUUAACCAUAAUUAGAUUAUAUAUAAAAUUAAAAUGUGUAAAAUAACUUUACAUCAUUAAUUCAUUUGUGGUUAUAUAUGAACAUGAGCUCUGUAUCCCACACCAGUGUAUCACUCACAGGAUGUGAAAUGCCACAGUCAAAAGAAGGCAGAUUAUCAUCUUAAGCAGCCACAGGUUUUCUAAUGUUUAUUUUAUAUUAUAUGUUAAAAAAAUUGUAGGCUAGACAGAGGUUAUUUUCAUUAUAUGUUAUUUCAUUAUAUAUGUUUCAUGAAUGUUGUUCACAAACACUUCGUUUUUGUUUUGCAGGAAUAUUGGAAACAGUUAGAGGAAAUACGCCAACAAUACCACAGUGACAUGAAGGAAAUUAGAAGGAAGAUGGGAAGAGAGCGGGAGGUAAAUUCACUCUUCUAGAGGAAACACUUCUGUCAAUUAAGAACUGUCUAAAAGAGUAGGUGUUAAAAGCAAUGAUCUUGAACCAGGCGUGUAGCUCAGUGGUAGAUCUCUUGUUUGGCAUGCCCAAGGCCCUGGGUUUAAUCCCCAGCACCAAAAAGGAAAACAAAAAGUAAUGAUCUCUUUGUAGAUAGGAUAAAGUUUUAUUAUAGAUAAAAGCAUACAAAAUUCUUUUUUAAAUAGGAAAGCUAUCAGACCAAAUAAAAGCUUCAUUUUAUUAUGAUUUACUAGUGAGACCCUGUCUCAAAACAAAAAGGGUUGUGAGUGUAACUGAGUGGUAGAACACUUGCCUAGCAUGCACAAGUCCCUGGGUUCAAUGCCCAGUACCGCAUACACAUACACACAGACAAACACAAACACACAUACUUAUUCAUUUUCUUCCUUUUUAAUCAGUAUUUACUGAGCAACUACUUCAGGCCAGAUCUGGAUCAGAUGCAGAAAAUUCAAAAUGAGAAUAAAUUCAUGUUCAUAAGGAGGAAUAAAACCAAACAUCUAGAGUUGAUUCAGUUCAAUAUGGGCAGGCCGAAUGUUCUAAAGUCUAUACAGUCAUGAGCAGCAUAGGUUUUGGUCAGUAAUGAACCAUAUAUAUAAUGGAGGUCCAAUAAGAUUAUACUCCCUAGUGAUGUUGUAGCUUGGUUUGUGUAACUACAGUCUCUGAUGUUCACACAAUGACAAAGUCACUUAAUGAUGCAUUUCUCAGAACAUAUUCCUAUCGUUAAGUGAUGCAAGACUGAAAAAGGCAAAAUUUAAAUAUAGUUGAGAAUGAUUCUUAAAAAUUCUGUAAAGGUGCCACAUUGGAAAUUGAUCUUUUCCAGAAUUGUAGCAGAUUGCUGCUUCUUCAGUAGACGAAGCAGCUAGCCUGUGUCUUGAGUAUGCAGUAUGAAAAUCACUUGGGUAUUUUAAUCCUAGGUGUGCUCUGGAAUGCCCCUCCUAUGAGAGAUCUGUCGUCUCCCAUCUCCCACCACUUGGCUGUGUGCUUGUUGAGUAGAACCCACACAACAGAAAUUGAUAUCUCUUUCUCUCUCUCCCUCUUCCCACCAUGUUCCUUCACCUCUAGUGCAUAUGGCGGAAUUACAAUAAAUUAAAUGAGCAUAUGGCCCAAUUCAAUUGUAUGUGUAAGAAUACAGGCUAGAGUUUUCACAUAUCCUAUCUCAUUUAGACCCCAAACAGAGAAGUUGAGUGACUUAGAUAUUACAAGGCGGAUUGAAUAUUAAAAUAUCUGACUCUGGAACUAGGAAUGUAGCUCAGUGGUAGAGCUCCUUUGUAGCAUGUAUGAGACCCUGGGUUUGAUCCCCAGCACAUAUGUACAUACAUAUUUAAAUCUGACUCUGACACCUUUGUUCUUUCUAGCAGAUGUAGUUCUACUCAUAAACAGUCGGAAAGAUAAGACAAUAUAUGAAACAAUGAUAGAACAAGCAAGACUGACUAUAGUUGAGGAGCAAAGAUAAGAAGGCUGAGAAGAGGAGGAAGGUCUGAGAAGAAGAGUUGAAUUUAGAGGCCGAGCUAAGGAGAAAGCUUUGGAAGAACCAUGCAAAGAUUCCAAAAGGAUGUGCUGGAAGGGCAGCUUGGGGUGGUUCUCUCCAGAGCAGAGGUUUUGUUCGUGAUGGGGAGCCUUGUGCUGGUAUCAACCUUAUAUUUAAGGCAGGUCUGUGAUAGGAAACCUGAGUCCAAGGAAGAUGGGUAGCAGACAUUUUGAUUUGGUGGUCCUGGGGAUUGAAACCAGAACUCCAGGCAUCCUAGGCAAGCACUGGGUAGCAGACAUUUCUAGAAAGAUUAUGAAAGAAGAAUUUAAGGAAUGCUGGAAGCAGCCACAGGGAAAAGGAAUUAUAAGGCUCUAGGCCUGAGGUAUAGCUCAGUGGAGUGCUUUUCUAGCAUGCAUGAGGCUCUGGUUCAAUCCCCAGCAACACACACACACACACACACACAGGCUUUAUCCAGUCUCUGUCAGCAGGGAUGUGUCUCUCACUAGACCCACUCAGACCCUGGUGGAGGGUUAGGAAGUUGCCUUCAGCAUUCAUGCAGAAUCAUUCUUGUGUUAAGGAGAACUCAAAAAUCAGUCAUCACACCUAUUUGGUGAAGAAGAGUGGCCUGCCCAUCCACCAAGAAGCACCUGAGGAGGAAGCAUCUGUGCAGGUAAGACCCCUGUUACUAGAUAUACAUGUGUUUUAG
rnacentral:lncRNA from 1 species